ACUCAAAGGAAUUGACGGGGGCCCGCACAAGCGGUGGAGCAUGUGGUUUAAUUCGACGCAACGCGAAGAACCUUACCUGGGCUCGAACGGCUUAAGACAAACUGUGGAAACACGGUCUCCCCGCAAGGGGCUUGAGUCGAGGUGCUGCAUGGCUGUCGUCAGCUCGUGUCGUGAGAUGUUGGGUUAAGUCCCGCAACGAGCGCAACCCUCGUCCUGUGUUGCUAAUCCGCAAGGAUGCACUCUCAGGAGACCGCCAGCGAUAAGUUGGAGGAAGGUGGGGAUGACGUCAAGUCAUCAUGGCCUUUAUGUCCAGGGCUACACACGUGCUACAAUGGGCGGUACAAAGCGCUGCAAACCCGCGAGGGGGAGCUAAUCGCAAAAAACCGUCCUCAGUUCGGAUCGCAGGCUGCAACUCGCCUGCGUGAAGCUGGAAUCGCUAGUAAUGGCAUAUCAGAACGAUGCCGUGAAUACGUUCCCGGGCCUUGUACACACCGCCCGU
rnacentral:rRNA from 1 species